CCUCCCUCCUUCGCUGGCGCCAGCAGUAGCAGACCCGUUCUGCUAGUCGAGCAUCCGCAACUUUCGGCGGGGGAUGCCGGCGAGACAACCUGGAUCGGGGGAGGCUACCGGGCGAUCAGCCCCAUGCUAAUCCCGAGCGGAGCACCGAGGGAGUGAUCCUUCGGCUGCCCGUGUAGAGCGCGCAAAGGUGUCGGUGGGCCUUCGGGCCUGCUUGAGGGACGUGCCGUCCCCUGUGAAAACAGGUCGUUGUCCGGAGUGCCGCCGCACAAAGGACCGCGAGCCGCUGGGCUUCCCGCCCGCGGUGGAUCCCCCAUUGAACGGCCAGCAGCCGCGGUAAUUCCAGCUCCAAUAGCGUAUAUUAAAGUUGUUGCAGUUAAAAAGCUCGUAGUUGAACCUUGGGCCUGGCUGGCCGGUCCGCCGCAAGGCGUGCACUGGUCCGGCCGGGCUCCUCCUUCUGGUGAACCCCAUGCCCUUCACUGGGCGUGGUGGGGACCCAGGACAUUUACUGUGAAAAAAUUAGAGUGUUCAAAGCAGGCCUUUGCUCGGAUACAUUAGCAUGGAAUAAUAAAAUAGGGCGGGCCCCCUAUUUUGUUGGUUUCUAGGGGAGCCGCAAUGAUUAAAAGGGUCAGUCAGGGGCAUCAGUAUUCAAUCGUCAGAGGUGAAAUUCUUGGAUCGAUUGAAGACUAACUACUGCGAAAGCAUUUGCCAGGGAUGUUUUCAUUAAUCAGGAACGAAAGUUAGGGGAUCGAAGACGAUCAGAUACCGUCGUAGUCUUAACCAUAAACUAUGCCGACUAGGGAUCGGAGGGGGUCUGCUAGAGCCCCCUUCGGCACCUUACGAGAAAUCAAAGUCUUUGGGUCUGGGGAGUAUCGCACCGC
rnacentral:rRNA from 1 species